GAUGAACGCUAGCGGCAGGCCUAACACAUGCAAGUCGAGGGGUAGAAUUAGCUUGCUAAUUUGAGACCGGCGCACGGGUGCGUAACGCGUAUGCAAUCUACCUUGUACAGGGGGAUAGCCCAGAGAAAUUUGGAUUAAUACCCCAUGGUAUAAUUAAUUUGCAUGAAUUGAUCAUUAAAGUUCCAACGGUACAAGAUGAGCAUGCGUCCCAUUAGCUAGUUGGUGUGGUAACGGCAUACCAAGGCGACGAUGGGUAGGGGUCCUGAGAGGGAGAUCCCCCAACUGGUACUGAGACACGGACCAGACUCCUACGGGAGGCAGCAGUGAGGAAUAUUGGUCAAUGGUCGGAAGACUGAACCAGCCAUGCCGCGUGCAGGAGAAGCAUCUAUGGUGUGUAAACUGCUUUUGUACGGGAAGAAACACUCCUUCGUGAAGGAGCUUGACGUACCGUAAGAAUAAGGAUCGGCUAACUCCGUAGCCAGCAGCC
rnacentral:rRNA from 1 species